UACGAAGGGUGCAAGCGUUACUCGGAAUUACUGGGCGUAAAGCGUGCGUAGGUGGUUUGUUAAGUCUGUUGUGAAAGCCCCGGGCUCAACCUGGGAAUGGCAAUGGAUACUGGCAGGCUAGAGUGCGGUAGAGGGUAGUGGAAUUCCCGGUGUAGCGGUGAAAUGCGUAGAGAUCGGGAGGAACACCAGUGGCGAAGGCGGCUACCUGGACCAGCACUGACACUGAGGCACGAAAGCGUGGGGAGCAAACAG
rnacentral:rRNA from 1 species